GGAUUGCACAUGUUACUUUUGAGUAUAACUUUAUUGCAGAGCUUACAUCCGACUAAAAGUAUAAUAAUAAACAAUUAUAAAAAUGUAUAGAUUACAUAUAGUUCGGUCGGUGAUAGCUAUCGCCGCUAGUCCGUGAACCGCCAAAAACACAUAAAAUCGGUGUGAACCGAGUAAAUUGAUGAACCGGUCCGGCUAUUGUAUUUCCAGCCGGUUCAAUCUAUUUUCAACUUUUUAGUUUUCUUUUCUCCGAAACCGUGAAAGGCUGAAACUGAAUGCUAUUCCCAAACGCGUGAAAGCCCUUUCCCUCCAACCUCCGCCGCUCACCGUCGCCGUCAAUUGCAGCAGGAAGGAAGAGAGAAUGCCGAAGAGGACGACACAUACAUACUCUAGCGAGGAUGCUGCACCAGAGGGCCCACAAUCCGAUCUCUUCGUUUAUUACUGCAAACACUGCGGAUCCCAUGUCCUCAUAACUGACACUCAAUUGCAGAAAAUGCCUCGAAGAAAAACCGACAGAGCUUACGUUUUAGACAAGAGCAAACAUCUUGCCAGAUUCAACAUUCACGAAGCAGGCAAUGUUCUCUUAAAGCGUGGUGAAGGAAAAGUUGAGAAACAAUUCCGAAUGAACUGUAUCGGUUGCGGUCUCUUUGUUUGCUAUCGAUCUCAACCAGAAUUUGAUUCAUCCUCUUUUAUUUAUGUCCUUGAUGCUGCACUCAGUACUGUUGCUGCUGAAACUAACCCUCAGGAUGCACCUGUUCCUCCCUGCAUUUCCCACCUUGAAGGUGGACUUGUUCAGCUUGCUAUUGAAGUUGAGGAUCGUGCUCACCGGUCUGCAAUUACCAGAGUCAAUGCUGAUGAUGUUAGAGUCAGUGUAGCUGCUCCGGCUGCUCGUGGUGAAGCUAACAAUGAACUCUUGGAGUUUAUGGGAAAAGUUUUGGGUUUAAGAUUGAGUCAAAUGACUCUUCAGAGAGGAUGGAAUAACAAGUCUAAACUUCUUGUGGUGGAGGAUUUGACUGCUAGACAAGUUUAUGAGAAACUUUUGGAGGCUGUGCAACCUUGAUGCUUGCUAGCUUUAUUAUGCAUGUAAGCAUGGGUUCUGAUUUAACUCAACGUCACAGUUCUUCUUGACAUUUCAUUUUCAUAGUAGAGACACGCAUACAAGGCCAUGGCCUAUUGCUCCUUGGACAUUGAUAUUGGAAAUCUAGAAUAAGUAAAACUCAUUUGAUUAAUCAGAAAUUGAGUCUGGUUGAACCAUAACGAUAUGUGUUUGAUUGAAUGUGAAAAACUGUUAAAAGUCUACAUUGUUGUGAUUGAAAGACUACUAAAGGGGUGAGCAAUUGUUUUAAUGGCUGUGGAGAAAAAGAGGGAAUGGUGAAAGGGUGGUUGAGAUGUGCACGGUUGAUACUGAGUACAUCUCAUUGGAGGAGAGGGAGACGGGAAGAGGACUAGGGUAGGGGAAUUGAACAAGACUAGCGAACAAAUAUUGUUGUCGUGUAUAAUAAUGAUGGUUGAAGGGGGUUUGGUUUAUAAGGAGAAAGGGUGUGUUGUGUAAGAUUUUAAAAGUGUAUUGUGUGAUGCAGUUUUUUCUACUGGUUUAGGAACGACGUGUUGUCUUGACUCAAAUGGGGCUUUUAUUGGUGCAAAUAUUGAGAGUUUCUUUUUGUCAUGUUACAGCAGAAAAGGAAGCAGCCUAUGGUCUUCUGAAAGUUCUCCAAUGGGUUUGUGAAUUGGAUUUCUAUAAUGUUCUUAUGGAGUGUAUUGAUCUUAUUUCCUAUUUUCCAAACUUUAAAGUAAGUUUGAUCCGAAGACAAGCUAAUAAUGUUGUCCACAAACUUGCUAGAGAAGCUCUAUUAAUAGCUAGUCACCAAUCUUUCUAAUAGUCCUUUUGUAUUGUUGAUGAAUUGAUGAGUAAAAUACCUUGAAUGUCUAUUUUUAUUUUAAAUAUUCUGUCA